rnacentral:rRNA from 1 species
GACGAACGCUGGCGGCGUGCUUAACACAUGCAAGUCGAACGGAAAGGCCCUGCUUUUGUGGGGUGCUCGAGUGGCGAACGGGUGAGUAACACGUGAGUAACCUGCCCUUGACUUUGGGAUAACUUCAGGAAACUGGGGCUAAUACCGGAUAGGAGCUCCUGCUGCAUGGUGGGGGUUGGAAAGUUUCGGCGGUUGGGGAUGGACUCGCGGCUUAUCAGCUUGUUGGUGGGGUAGUGGCUUACCAAGGCUUUGACGGGUAGCCGGCCUGAGAGGGUGAACGGCCACCUUGGGACUGCGAUACGCCCCAGACUCCUACGGGAGGCAGCAGUGGGGAAUAUUGCACAAUGGGCGGAAGCCUGAUGCAGCAACGCCGCGUGCGGGAUGACGGCCUUCGGGUUGUAAACCGCUUUCGCCUGUGACGAAGCGUGAGUGACGGUAAUGGGUAAAGAAGCACCGGCUAACUACGUG